GACGAACGCUGGCGGCGUGCUUAACACAUGCAAGUCGAACGGAAAGGCCCUGCUUUUGUGGGGUGCUCGAGUGGCGAACGGGUGAGUAACACGUGAGUAACCUGCCCUUGACUUUGGGAUAACUUCAGGAAACUGGGGCUAAUACCGGAUAGGAGCUUCUGCUGCAUGGUGGGGGUUGGAAAGUUUCGGCGGUUGGGGAUGGACUCGCGGCUUAUCAGCUUGUUGGUGGGGUAGUGGCUUACCAAGGGUUUGACGGGUAGCCGGCCUGAGAGGGUGACCGGCCACAUUGGGACUGCGGGACGGCCCAGAAUCCUACGGGAGGCAGCAGGGGAGAAUAUUGCGCAAUGGGCGGAAGUCAGAGGUAGCGACGCCGCGAGCGGGAUGACGGCCUUCGGGGUGUAAACCGCUUUGUCCUGUGACGAAGCGUGAGUGACGGUAAUGGGUAAGGAAGCACCGGCUAACUACGUG
rnacentral:rRNA from 1 species